GUGUGUGUGUGCAUCUCUGUGUGUGUGUGUGUAUGUGUGUGCAUGUGUUCAUGUGUGUGGUUCUGUGUGUGUGUGCAUGUGUUUGUGUACGUGUAGGUUUGUGUGUGCAUGUGUGUGCAUGUGUUUGUGUAUGCGUGGGUUUGUGUGUGCAUGUGUGUGUAUGUGUGAUUUGAAAUCAGUUACUCUGAGUGGAAGUCAGAGGGAAAGGAUAUUCUAACGCGGCAUUGAAGGCAUUACUGUGGCAUCAAAACCAACAAGGAAAGGUCAUGGGUGGACGGAGUGAGAAUAAAGGGGCAGGCGGAUGGGCAGGACUGGGGUGAAUCCUAGCAGGAGAACUUGCAAAAACCCAGCCCCUGCUUGACAGAGAAUGCCGUUUGGGUGCAGUGAGAGAUCUUUAGGAAACUGCCUGCUGUUUGUUGUUACCCCUUGUUCCCUCCGUAGGAGGUUUGGACAGGCAAUCUCUCACUGACGUGCUUGUAACUUUCAUUGUCACCUUUAUCAACAGACUCGCCCCAUGGAGAGGACAAAUUGGAUUCAUGACCAGACCUCUGAGGGGCUGCGUCUCCAGGUAGCUGGUGGGAAGCUGUCUGGAAACAAACAUUUUCCAGCUCGCUCGACCCUCACAUUUCCAGAGCAGAAGAAUACCCUGAAAGUGUUUUUCACGUACGAUUUCAGAAUCCUCACGAAAAGCCUCAAGUGUUUCUCCAGUUAUAGGGAGAUUCUAAAAAUGUGUGGAUCAAGGGGUACCGCUUCUACUUAUUAACUUACUUGUGGGAAGCAUGAGAACUCCUCAAAGUCAGAGCAAUGGCUCUAAAAUGGAUCUGCUCCUGUCAACAGAGCUCCUGCACAGCCAGGACCAACGCCUGAGUAUCCAGGACCAUGUCUCCCAGCCCAGAAACGACUCCUGCACACCUAAAGAUACCCAGUCAACCCUCACCUUGCCUGUAAGCCCCCUUCCCAGGAAAUAAGAGCAGAAGAACAAAGAAGCCACAGAGUUUCAUCUCGAGGAUAUGGAAAUGAAAUACACUGUGUAACUGUUAAGGACUGAAUUAUGUCCUCCUGAAAUUCAUAUAUGGAGCCCUCAUGCCUAAUGUGACUGUAUUUGGAGACAGGGGCUUUAAAUAAGUCAUUAAGUGUAUUAGUCCAUUCUCACCCUGCUAAUAAAGACAUGCCUGAGACUAGGUAGUUUAAAAAGGAAAGAGGUUUGAUUGACUCACAGUUCCACGUGGCUGGGGAGGCCUCACUAAUGUGGCAGAAGAUGAAGGAGAAGCAAAAGAAUGUCUUACAUGGCAGCCAACAAAGAGAACUUGUGCAGCGGAGCUCCCAUUUAUAAAACCAUCAGAUCUCAUGAGAGUUAUUCACUCAGGCAAGAACAGUAUGGGGGCAACUGCCCCCAGGAUUCAAUGAUCUCCCACUGGCUCCCUCCCAUGACGUGGGAAUUAUGAGAACUACAAUUCAAGGUGAGAUUGGGGUGGGGACACGACCAAGCCAUAUCAUUAAGGUGAAAUGAAGUCAAAAGCAAGGGGCCCUACCUCAUAUGACUGUGGCCUUAUAAGAACAGGAAGAGACACUGGGGAUGAAGGUACACAGAGAAAAGGCCGUAUGAGAGCACAGCUGAGAGAUGGCCAUCUGCAACCCAAGAAGAAAGGCCUCAGGAGAAACCAAACCUGCCCACGCAUUGUUCUUGGACUUCCAGCCUCCAGGACUGUAAGACAGUAAGUUCCUAUUGUUUAAGCCACCCAGUCUCUGGUAUUUUGUUUUAUGGCAGCCCAAGUAAACAAAUGCAAUAACAGUAGAAGAAAGCUGAUCAGUGGAAACAGAAAAACGACAGAAUGAAUGUCUUUCGCAAUGAAUAUGAAAAGCUUGGAAAAGGAUUCCACUAAAGCUGACAAUUCUUUCAUAGAUGGAUUACGGAACAGUUGGACAUGAAACAAAAUAAAAAUGAUCACAGCUCUCCCUCUGUGCCUGAAGCAGUUUCUAGGGGGAAAUUCAAACGUGAAAAGCCAAGCAGAUGAUCUGAGAUGUUAACUGAGAUGAGUGAAGGCACCAAGCAUCAGGCAAUGUGGACUUUCUGACCAGCACCGUGUUCUUGCCUGCAAAACUGCCUAUUAGUAGGGAUUGGCACAACCCUGGAAAUAAACUUUUCUAGGGUGACACAUCUUCAAUGAGAACAUUGUUUGAGGCCUCUGUGCUCAAGAGACCGUGUUUGGUUUUUGAAAUGUUUGGUUUUCUCCUUUGGAAUGGAAUAGCCUGGGGAGGAAUAAGGAGUGUGCGUGGCAGCAGCCCAGGAGAUGCUUUCUUUUUCCCUGUAAUCCAGAUACGAUGCUAGUUUUAUCUAUUAGGUGGCAAAGGCAGCAAGGAUUGUGCCUUUCAUCUUUUUUGAUGAGGUAAAGCUGCAAGCCAGGGAAUGUAUUUAGCUUUUCUGUUCUGCACAGAGCAUUCUGGUCAGCUGAUGGUGAAUGAUGUGCAGUUGUUGAGGUUCCUAGCUUCUCCAGAGCAAUUCCUGCUGAAGGCUUUCCUGCCAUCUUGCAGAGUUGGAGUCUGGGGAUGUUAAGAAGUUUAAGAAGAAAAACAACACAAAACAAAGAAAAAAAACAGAAGCUCACCACCUUCAUCAUGUAAGCAAAGAUAUCUUAUGAAGGAAUUCAUUCAAUUCACAUAAAAACCUUGGUAUACAGAGGCAGGAAAAUGUCAUUAUACCCAUUUCACAGAAGGAGAAACAAGGAGUGAUUAAAAAGAAGGAAUGAAGAGGAGAAGGAAGGAAGGAAAGAAGAAAGGAGAGGAUGGGAAAGAAGGGAGG
ensembl:lincRNA